GGGCAGUUGGCGCAGUGGUAGCGCGCCUCAUUUGCACUCCUGCGGAGUUUGAAAUCUUGCGGAGUUUGAAAGCGUUGAGGAGGGCAUGGGUUCAAUCCCCAUACUGUCCA